rnacentral:rRNA from 1 species
GGAUACGGUCAUACCAGCACUAGAGCACCGGAUCCCAUCAGAACUCCGAACUUAAGCGUGCUUGGGCGAGAGUAGUACGAGGAUGGGUGACCUCUUGGGAAGUCCUCGUGUUGCAUUUU